UACGGAGGGUGCAAGCGUUAUCCGGAUUCACUGGGUUUAAAGGGUGCGUAGGAGGGCAGGGGAAGUCCGUGGUGAAAUCCUAGAGCUUAACUCUAGAACUGCCGUGGAUACUCUCUGUCUUGAAUCCCCGUGGAGAUGAGCGGAAUAUGUCAUGUAGCGGUGAAAUGCUUAGAUAUGACAUAGAACACCAAUUGCGAAGGCAGCUCGUUACACGAAAGAUUGACUCUGAGGCACGAAAGCGUGGGGGAUCAAACAGG
rnacentral:rRNA from 1 species